rnacentral:rRNA from 1 species
AGAGCGAACGCUGGCGGCAGGCCUAAUACAUGCAAGUCGAACGGAUCCUUCGGGAUUAGUGGCGGACGGGUGAGUAACACGUGGGAACGUACCCUUUGGUUCGGAACAACUCAGGGAAACUUGAGCUAAUACCGAAUGUGCCCUUCGGGGAAAAGAUUUAUCGCCAUUGGAGCGGCCCGCGUCUGAUUAGCUAGUUGGUAGGGUAAAGGCCUACCAAGGCUACGAUCAGUAGCUGGUCUGAGAGGAUGAUCAGCCACACUGGGACUGAGACACGGCCCAGACUCCUACGGGAGGCAGCAGUAGGGAAUCUUGCGCAAUGGGCGAAAGCCUGACGCAGCCAUGCCGCGUGAAUGAUGAAGGUCUUAGGAUUUGUAAAAUUCUUUCAGCGGGGACGAUAAUGACGGUACCCGCAGAAGAGCCCCGGCUAACUUCGUGCCAGCAGCCGC